CUUCUAUUACUAUGAAGAGAUGCCAUGCAUGACCACAGCAACUCUAAAAAGGAAAACAUUUAAUUAGGGUGGCUCGCUUGCCCUUCAGAGGUUCAGUCCAUUAUCGUGAUGGUGGGACAUGGUGUCUUGCAGGCAAAUAUGGUACUGGAGAAGCAGCUGAGAGUCCUACAUCUUGGCUCUCAGGCAAGAGGAAGUGAAAUGAGUGUGUUACUG